rnacentral:misc_RNA from 1 species
GAUGAAGAACGUAGCGAAAUGCGAUAAGUAAUGUGAAUUGCAGAAUUCAGUGAAUCAUCGAAUCCUUGAACGCACAUUGCGCCCCCUGGUAUUCCGGGGGGCAUGCCUGUUCGAGCGUCAUUUCACCACUCAAGCCUCGCUUGGUAUUGGGCAACGCGGUCCGCCGCGUGCCUCAAAUCGUCCGGCUGGGUCUUCUGUCCCCUAAGCGUUGUGGAAACUAUUCGCUAAAGGGUGUUCGGGAGGCUACGCCGUAAAACAACCCCAUUUCUAAGGUUGACCUCGGAUCAGGUAGGGAUACCCGCUGAACUUAAGCAUAUCAAUAAGCGGAGGA